rnacentral:rRNA from 1 species
CGGACGGGUGAGUAACGCGUGGGUAACCUGCCUCAUACAGGGGGAUAACAGCUAGAAAUGACUGCUAAUACCGCAUAAGCGCACAGGGAUGCAUGUCCUGGUGUGAAAAACUCCGGUGGUAUGAGAUGGACCCGCGUCUGAUUAGCUGGUUGGCGGGGUAACGGCCCACCAAGGCGACGAUCAGUAGCCGACCUGAGAGGGUGACCGGCCACAUUGGGACUGAGACACGGCCCAAACUCCUACGGGAGGCAGCAG